UACGUAGGGGGCUAGCGUUGUCCGGAUUUAUUGGGCGUAAAGAGCGUGUAGGCGGCCAGGUAGGUCUGCUGUGAAAACUCGAGGCUCAACCUCGAGACGUCGGCGGAAACCAUCUGGCUAGAGUCCGGAAGAGGAGAGUGGAAUUCCUGGUGUAGCGGUGAAAGUGCGCAGAUAUCAGGAAGAACACCCGUGGCGAAGGCGGCUCUCUGGGACGGUACUGACGCUGAGACGCGAAAGCGUGGGGAGCGAACAGG
rnacentral:rRNA from 1 species